CCCCAAAUUCCAGUUAAGUGGGAAACGAUGUGGGAAGUCUCAGACAGCUAGGAGGUUGGCUUAGAAGCAGCCAUCCUUUAAAGAAAGCGUAAUAGCUCACUAGUCGAGUCGGCCUGCGCGGAAGAUGUAACGGGGCUCAAACUGGAUACCGAAGCUGCGGCAGCGUGCUUAUGCAUGCUGGGUAGGGGAGCGUUCUGUAAGUCUGUGAAGGUGUGUUGAGAAGCAUGCUGGAGAUAUCAGAAGUGCGAAUGCUGACGUGAGUAACGAUAAUGGGGGUGAAAAACCUCCACGCCGAAAGACCAAGGUUUCCUGCGCAACGCUAAUCGGCGCAGGGUAAGUCGGCCCCUAAGGCGAGGCAGAAAUGCGUAGCUGAUGGGAAACGGGUUAAUAUUCCCGUACUUCUUAUAACUGCGAUGGAGAGACGGAGAAGGCUAGGCCUACCGGGCGUUGGUUGUCCCGGGGAAAGGCAGUAGGCUGGGAUCUUAGGCAAAUCCGGGAUCCUAAGGCUGAGAGCCGAGACCAUUGGGGCUUUGUCCCCGAGAAGUGGUUGAUGCCCUGCUUCCAGGAAAAUCUUCUAAGCUUCAGGUUAUAAGGAACCGUACCCCAAACCGACACAGGUGGUUGGGAUGAGUAUUCUAAGGCGCUUGAGAGAACUCGGGUGAAGGAACUAGGCAAAGUGGUACCGUAACUUCGGGAGAAGGUACGCCACCGAUGGUGAAGGGCUUGCCCCGUAAGCUGUUGGUGGUCGCAGUGAAAAGGCCCCUGCAACUGUUUAUUAAAAACACAGCACUCUGCAAACGCGUAAGCGGACGUAUAGGGUGUGACGCCUGCCCGGGUGCCGGAAGGUUAAUUGAUGGGGUUAGCUUCGGCGAAGCUCUUGAUCGAAGCCCCGGUAAACGGCGGCCGUAACUAUAACGGUCCUAAGGUAGCGAAAUUCCUUGUCGGGUAAGUUCCGACCUGCACGAAUGGCGUAACGAUGGCCACGCUGUCUCCACCCGAGACUCAGUGAAAUUGAAAUCGCUGUGAAGAUGCAGUGUACCCGCGGCUAGACGGAAAGACCCCGUGAACCUUUACUAUAGCUUGACACUGGACUCUGAUGUUAUUUGUGUAGGAUAGCUGGGAGGCUUUGAAGCGCAGGCGCUAGCUUGCGUGGAGCCAACCUUGAAAUACCAGCCUGGUAACAUUGGGGUUCUAACUCAGGUCCAUUAUCUGGAUCGAGGACAGUGUCUGGUGGGUAGUUUGACUGGGGCGGUCUCCUCCCAAAGAGUAACGGAGGAGUACGAAGGUGCGCUACGCAUGGUCGGAAAUCAUGCAGUUAGUAUAAUGGCAUAAGCGCGCUUGACUGCGAGACUGACAAGUCGAGCAGGUACGAAAGUAGGUCAUAGUGAUCCGGUGGUUCUGUAUGGAAGGGCCAUCGCUCAACGGAUAAAAGGUACUCCGGGGAUAACAGGCUGAUACCGCCCAAGAGUUCACAUCGACGGCGGUGUUUGGCACCUCGAUGUCGGCUCAUCACAUCCUGGGGCUGAAGCCGGUCCCAAGGGUAUGGCUGUUCGCCAUUUAAAGUGGUACGCGAGCUGGGUUCAGAACGUCGUGAGACAGUUCGGUCCCUAUCUGCCGUGGGCGUUGGAGAAUUGAGAAGAGCUGCUCCUAGUACGAGAGGACCGGAGUGGACGAACCUCUGGUGUUCGGGUUGUCACGCCAGUGGCAUUGCCCGGUAGCUAUGUUCGGACGGGAUAACCGCUGAAAGCAUCUAAGCGGGAAGCCUCCUUCAAGAUAAGUUCUCCCUGGGGCUUUAAGCCCCCUAAAGAGCCGUUCAAGACCAGGACGUUGAUAGGCAGGGUGUGGAAGCGUUGUGAGGCGUUGAGCUAACCUGUACUAAUUGCUCGUGAGGCUUGACCAU
rnacentral:rRNA from 1 species